rnacentral:rRNA from 1 species
AGAUCUUUCGGGAUCUUGAGAGCGGCGUACGGGUGCGGAACACGUGUGCAACCUGCCUUUAUCGGGGGGAUAGCCUUUCGAAAGGAAGAUUAAUACCCCAUAAUAUAUUGAGUGGCAUCACUUAAUAUUGAAAACUCCGGUGGAUAGAGAUGGGCACGCGCAAGAUUAGAUAGUUGGUGAGGUAACGGCUCACCAAGUCUGCGAUCUUUAGGGGGCCUGAGAGGGUGAUCCCCCACACUGGUACUGAUACACGGACCAGACUCCUACGGGAGGCAGCAGUGAGGAAUAUUGGACAAUGGGUGCGAGGCUGAUCCAGCCUUCCCGCGUGAAGGACGACGGCCCUAUGGGUUGUAAACUUCUUUUGUAUAGGGAUAAACCUACUCUCGUGAGAGUAGCUGAAGGUACUAUACGAAUAAGCACCGGCUAACU